rnacentral:rRNA from 1 species
CAGGGAUUGCCCUAGUAACGGCGAGUGAAGCGGCAACAGCUCAAAUUUGAAAUCUGGCCCUCGUGGUCCGAGUUGUAAUUUGUAGAGGAUGCUUUUGGUGAGGUGCCUUCCGAGUUCCCUGGAACGGGACGCCAUAGAGGGUGAGAGCCCCGUCUGGUUGGACACCGAGCCUCUGUAAAGCUCCUUCGACGAGUCGAGUAGUUUGGGAAUGCUGCUCUAAAUGGGAGGUAUAUGUCUUCUAAAGCUAAAUACCGGCCAGAGACCGAUAGCGCACAAGUAGAGUGAUCGAAAGAUGAAAAGCACUUUGAAAAGAGGGUUAAAUAGUACGUGAAAUUGUUGAAAGGGAAGCGCUUGUGACCAGACUUGAGCCCGGUUAAUCAUCCAGCCUUCUGGCUGGUGCACUUGGCCGGCUCAGGCCAGCAUCAGUUCGGCGCGGGGGAUAAAGGCUUCGGGAAUGUGGCUCCUCCGGGAGUGUUAUAGCCCGUUGUGUAAUACCCUGUGCUGGACUGAGGUUCGCGCAUCUGCAAGGAUGCUGGGCGUAAUGGUCAUCAGCGACCCCGUCUUGAAACACGGACCAAAGGAGUCGUCUUCGUAUGCGAGUGGUCCGGGUGUCAAACCCCCUACGCCGUAAUGGAAAGUGAAACGCAAGGUGAAAAGCUUCCGGCGCAUCAUCCGACCGAUCC